GCCUUUGUUGGAUAUAGUGGCAUUUUCCUAGAUAUGUUUCCUAAAGCAAGGGAAACAAAGGCAAAAAUAAACUACUAGGACUACAUUAAAAUAAAAAGCUUCUGCACAGCAAAGGAAACAGUCAACAAAACAAAAAGAC